rnacentral:rRNA from 1 species
UACGUAGGUGGCAAGCGUUGUCCGGAUUUAUUGGGUUUAAAGGGUGCGUAGGCGGUCAAAUAAGUCAGUUGUGAAAUACGGCAGCUCAACUGUCGAGGUGCAAUUGAUACUGUUUGACUUGAGUACUGUUGAGGUAGGCGGAAUGGACGGUGUAGCGGUGAAAUGCUUAGAGAUCGUCCAGAACACCGAUAGCGAAGGCAGCUUACUACAUAGUUAUUGACACUGAGGCACGAAAGCGUGGGGAUCAAACAGG